GAAGACUUGGUUCCUUCCUAUAUGAGGUGAGUUAGGGAAUUAUAGUUGUGUUAGGACAUGUAUAAAUUAGGACAUGUAUAAAUAAGGAAAGGGAUUAUUGGAUGUCCACCACAGACCUGUAAUGGCGGACUACAAGAACGAGGCUAUGAAGAAGGUGUGUCAGAAGGUGUGUCACCUAGAAGGUGUAAAGAUGGAGGUGCGGGACAGGUUGUCAACAAUCAACGACGACAUGAGUUGGCGAACGGUUCAGGGUGUGAUUGUGUGGAGGCUGAGGUUUGUCGACUGACUAUCAUUGUUACACUAUCAUUGUUGUAACAUAAUAACCGCGGAAACAGGCUCUGCUGCCAUAACCCUAACAGCCACCCCUGAACCCAGUAGGCACUUCACUGUAGAAGAGAGCGAAAUUAUCGCUCAUACGCUCCAACACAACGCCAGGUCUUUGGCUGUGCAAACAGUUUCUCCUGGACCACCCCAUGGAAAAAACAAAGAAAAAGAUUCAAGACAAAGUGUCUUCCUAUUAAGAACAAGAACAAUUAGAAACCCUGACCCUAUAUAAAUGUGCCGCCAUUGUAUUGUAGAAAGUGUCCCUUCUAAAGUUACCCUUAACUAUGUAUGUACCCACCCUGCAUUAAACAGUAGGAAAAGGGUCUAAAAGGGACCAAGACCCUUAUCGACCCAAUAUUACCAGAAGUCGCAUUCAAGGCUAACAUGUGAUGGUUGCUAACAUGUGAUGGUUGCUUGAUGAAACCAAUCAGUUUUUAAAGUUACCGAGGUUUCUUUGACCCAAAACAAGUAGGAACCUCACAGUCACAUCCACCCAUUUUAGAGAUUACUGAGGUGUCUACGAAAGAAAGGGUCGUUUUGAGUCUUCCAGCGUCCCUUAGCGUCCCAAAUCGAAGUGCAAACUCGCAGUACAUGUCUGAACACGUUACACAGGAGAGGUUUGAUUCCUAUACAUCCCCCACAACAUACCCAUUUCAAUCCCAGAACCAAACUUGAAAGACUACAAGUGGUAUGGUUCAAAGUAACUUUAUUGAAGCCAUACAACAUGUCAAAUGAUCAAUUUCUUAGGCAACAAGAUACUAUACGAAAGUUACACAGUAGGCGAAUUUUUUAAUUUUUUAAUUAACUCUAACUCGGAAACCAUACUAUGUACAAACCCAAAAUUUUUUCUGAGAUGUUAUUAUACCAUUCCUCAUACACACACCAAGUUUCAAAUUCUGAAGACGUCACGUUUUAAAUUUCGUUAAAUUGAUAUGGAAUGACAUCAAUUUUAAUGCUCGAUUCAAUGUACUUAUACUGUGUGUCAGGUAAGACUGACACUGACACUGACACUACUUGGCCAGGUAGUAUAAUAAUUAUAUACUUGACACACAGAGAUUGAUUGAGCAGGAUAUGUUGAAUUUUGAGUGAAUGCAGAAAGUGUAAGGUACUGGUAAACCCAUUGUCAAUGAAUAUAAUUAUUCAAUGAAUAUAAUUAUGAGGAGUCAUGUUUCAGGCAGUGAGAACUACGGGAGGAGAACUACAAAAACUGUGGCAGUAAGCACCACAGUCGUGUGUAUCUCGAAGGUACUCGUAACAAUGGGUGGGGCUACCACAGUACCAAGUGAGAAUCUUAAAAACAUACGGUGCAUUCAUGCAUUCUAAUUAUGAUACUAGGUACCCACGGAACGGAAAUGGACACAGACGUAGGUCACUAUAGAGCGUAGCGAUAAUUCUCAGGCGGAAAUUGAUCCCUUUAUCAGCAGUACUGUAUUGUUAAGCUGACAUGAGCCAUACCUGUGUACUGACAUAAUAUAUAUAAUUUUGUCUUACUUGUGCCAUAGAUAGUAGGAUACAUGGUUCAGAUACAUGGUUCACCACAAGGAGGCUAGAACUGCAGUCUUUUCCCCUAGCCCCAGGCCUAAGCUAGCUCUCAUCUCAUGAACGGUUUUUUACGAUUAAAACGUGUAUUUUAUAUGCAACGUUUAAAGCGAAAGGUUGACAUUGGAUAUUCCUGUAUUUAGUCGCUAUAG